rnacentral:tRNA from 1 species
GCCGAAGUGGCGGAAUUGGUAGACGCACACGUUUUAGGAGCGUGUUCCUUCGGGAGUGCAGGUUCAAGUCCUGUCUUCGGCAC